UGGGGAAUAUUGGACAAUGGGCGAAAGCCUGAUCCAGCCAUGCCGCGUGUGUGAAGAAGGUCUUCGGAUUGUAAAGCACUUUAAGUUGGGAGGAAGGGCAUUAACCUAAUACGUUAGUGUUUUGACGUUACCGACAGAAUAAGCACCGGCUAACUCUGUGCCAGCAGCCGCGGUAAUACAGAGGGUGCAAGCGUUAAUCGGAAUUACUGGGCGUAAAGCGCGCGCAGGUGGUUUGUUAAGUUGGAUGUGAAAUCCCCGGGCUCAACCUGGGAACUGCAUUCAAAACUGACUGACUAGAGUAUGGUAGAGGGUGGUGGAAUUUCCUGUGUAGCGGUGAAAUGCGUAGAUAUAGGAAGGAACACCAGUGGCGAAGGCGACCACCUGGACUAAUACUGACACUGAGGUGCGAAAGCGUGGGGAGCAAACA
rnacentral:rRNA from 1 species